CACAGCAGGUCACUGAUCACAUUCACAGCAGGUCACAUCACAGCAGGUCACUGAUCACAUCCACAGCAGGUCACUGAUCACAUUAUAGUAGGUCACAUCAUAGUAGGUCACUGAUCACAUUAUAGUAGGUCACAUCAUAGUAGGUCACUGAUCACAUCACAGUAGGUCACUGAUCACAUCAUAGUAGGUCACAUCAUAGCAGGUCACUGAUCACAUCACAGUAGGUCACUGAUCACAUCACAGCAGGUCACUGAUCACAUCAUCGUAGGUCACUCAUCACAUCACAGUAGGUCACUGAUCACAUCACAGUAGGUCACUGAUCACAUCACAGCAGGUCACAUCACAGCAGGUCACUGAUCACAUCCACAGCAGGUCACUGAUCACAUCCACAGCAGGUCACAUCACAGCAGGUCACUGAUCACAUCCACAGCAGGUCAC